rnacentral:rRNA from 1 species
UGUUACCUACGGGAGGCAGCAGUAGGGAAUCUUCCACAAUGGACGAAAGUCUGAUGGAGCAACGCCGCGUGAGUGAAGAAGGGUUUCGGCUCGUAAAGCUCUGUUGGUAGUGAAGAAAGAUAGAGGGAGUAACUGGCCUUUAUUUGACGGUAAUUACUUAGAAAGUCACGGCUAACUACGUGCCAGCAGCCGCGGUAAUACGUAGGUGGCAAACGUUGCCCGGAUUUUUUGGGCGUAAAGCGCGUGC